GUGAAUGUUCUGAUAGUUGCGUCGUCGCACGGCCUCGUGUGGCAGAGGUGAACGGCUUGUGGUGGUAAGGGUGAACGGGUUGAGCGUUGCAUGUCCAAAAAAUUGGUUUUAUUUGACAACACGAAAACAUAAAAAGGAUGAUUUCUGUUUCAUAAUUUAACUCAAGAAGCAGUACCUCUAGCUAUGGAAGAUUACUGAGCCAAAUGCCCAUUCCGUGGCUACAAAAAACUGAUUAUUUUGUUUUUCUUAGUGGUGCCACUACCUUCAGAUUAGAAGGACAUACAUAAUACUCAUCCGCCGAACUGCACAUAUCUUUUACAUCAUUUUCAUGGCCUAAUAAUACAUCCAUCUCAUUUAUUCAGUUUAUCGGUUACCAAAAAGUAUCAGCUAUCAGUCCACAAAGAGCAUCAACUAUCAGUUCACAAAAAUAUGAAACAUCACAGGAACAUAAAAAGAAUGUUUAUUAGUUCACAAACCUAUCAGCAAUAGUAGUCCUGCGGCUCCAGUGCAGCCGCCAUUGUUGGUUUUUCUUCUUAAAAUACACACUGAACUGCUGUAACAAAAAAGAAACUUUAAAGCACAAGAUUUAGCAAGAUGAACCACUAGUCUACUAACCAGAGA
rnacentral:lncRNA from 1 species